rnacentral:rRNA from 1 species
UACGUAGGGUGCAAGCGUUGUCCGGAAUCAUUGGGCGUAAAGAGCGUGUAGGCGGCUCGAUAAGUCCGCUGUAAAAGUCCAGGGCUCAACCCUGGGAUGCCGGUGGAAACUGUCGGGCUAGAGUCCGGGAGAGGCGAGUGGAAUUCCUGGUGUAGCGGUGAAAUGCGCAGAUAUCAGGAGGAACACCAAUGGCGAAGGCAGCUCGCUGGAACGGUACUGACGCUGAGACGCGAAAGCGUGGGGAGCAAACAG